GGCUACCCAUUCAAGACUGUUUCCACACUGUGGAAGCUUUGUACUUUCACUCUGCUCAAUAAAGCCUGCAGCUUUUUCUCACUCUCAGUCCAUGUCUCUUUCACUCACUGUGGUCAGCUUCCACACCAUUUCUUUGGUGUGGCUUGGCAAGAACCUCAGGUGUUACAUCUUGGCGAGCCAGACAGGAGACUCCAGAAAAGGGGUGAUUUUCCUGUACCAGUCCAAUGCCUCCAGAGGAAGAUCAUACAUUUGCCAUUUUACUGCUUAGUACGCAUGCUUGAGCCUGCUCGCCCAACUGCUGAGAUCUUAUUCAGAAACUGCUGAUCACCAACUCCAGGUGUUUUUAUUACACAAGACAAAAACGGAAAAACAGUAACAAAUGAUUGGUUAAGCCUUUCAAAACAAAGAAGUGUAUGUGCUACAGUAUAUUUAGACCUAUUAUUCUUAAUCUUCUAAGUGGAACAUAAAAUCUUAAUGUCUAAUACAAAAAUACUAAGAAUAUGUAAGUUCUUAAUAAGUACUUGAUUGUCUGAAGCCCUGAAAUAGACACCUGGGAAUUUUACUAAUGGCCAAUAAGGAGGAACUGUUAGAAUAUAAAUUCCUGGUAAAGGAAACAAAAAAUAAGUUAUUUCCUUAAGGGACUACAGAGGGUACAGAAGUAACUUUUUGUCCUUUUGUUUGCAUAUUUUCAUACAAAGGGUUCUCAUCUAUUAAUUCCAUUCUGAAAGAUAAACAGCACACCAGCUAUCCUUAGCAUUCUAUAUAUAAGAAACUUCAGACUAAGCUGAGUGUGGUGGCUCAUACCUAUAAUCCCAGCACUUUGGAAGGCUGAGGUAAGCAGAUAACUUGAGCCCAAGAGUUUGAUACCAGCCUGGGAAACAUGGAGAAAACCCAUCUCUACAAAGAAUACAAAAAUUAGCUGGAUGUGGGUGGUGUGCACCUGUAGUCCCAGCUGCUCAGGAGCCUGAGGUGGGAGGAUCACUUGAGCCUGGGAAGUGGAGCCUGCAGUGAGCUGUGAUCAUACCGCUGCACGCCAGGAUCAAUUACAGAAUGAGACCAUGUCUCAAAAAAAAAAAAAUAAAUAAAUAAGGUAAGGUUUAGCAGGUUAGGUAAAAUAUAUUUUAUGUGAGAAAGUUAAAUAAUCUACCCCAAAUCAUAAAACUACAGAAUGGCAAAUACGAAAUGUAGAACUAAAUUAUUAACUCCAAACCCAGAGCCUUCCCUCAAAAUUCUGGCUAGAAAUGGCAAUGCUUAGAUGAAUAACUUCUGUUUCCUCUUCAAACAUUAAUAUUCCAGUAUGCCUGGAGUGGGAGGAACAUUACACUAUACUUCUUUCUCCUCCUUCAUUAGUGAAGGUCACUGGAAUAGGUUCAUUACACUCAAGCAAAGGCCUGGGGAAAUGAUAGAAUUACCUCUGUUGACCCAGAAGAGCACCAAAAGCACCAGUGUGCAGAAAUCAGAGACCUCAAGCUAAAAGUCAUAAAAGGACAAGAACCUGGAAGUCGUCGAACUGUGGAAGCAAAAGACCUGUAAUGCUCCUGCUUGCCGAGCUGUGAGCAGUGGUAGUAAAAGAGCAGUAACAUUCUCUCCUGCUUGCCAAACAGGAGAGAAGCCACUGGCACCACUCCCUCCCACUCACUGAACUAUAGAAGAGAAAAAAUUGAAACACCAAAAUUGGGGAAAUGCGACUUUUGCGAAAAUUUGAAAGUGCAUGCUUCACAGAAGGAAGGGGGAGCUGGUCUAUUAUGUCUCACUAUAACAAGACUAAAAUUUUGCAAAUAAAUUGUUCCUGCCAUAAUUUAUCCUUGGUAGAAAUGAAGAAAUUGGAGAGAGAAAAAAUUGGAUUCUAGGUCCUGACCAUUGUUUUUGAAUUUUUAUUAUUUUCCUACAAUUUAGGCUAAAUUCUGAACUAUUUGCUGGCUACAAGAGGCCUCUAAAAAAGAGCUGGGUUUUAGUUUUCUUCAUGCUCUUUAAAAACUGGCAUAUAAUGGUGUGUAUCUCUCGUUGUUUUACUUCUAAGAAACUGAAGGCAUGAUAUUCUGAAGACUAGAGGUGAUUCAAUAGCCUAUGAAUCUUCUUCAUUUGGAACCCCACUGGGCCUGAUCUGUUUCCCAUCACCAAUGCACUUCUGCUAAACCUAUAUCCUAUCAAGUACUCUCCCUAAAUGCUCAGAGACCAUAACAGAAGAUGAGGGUGUGUGAGAUUAUAAAAGCCAAAUUAGUGGAGUGGAAUCUGGAGGCUAAAGCAACUCCAUCUUGGAUGCUAAUCUGCCAUGUUGGCUUCUGAUUAACCCCAGUUCUGGAGGGCCUCUGAGGUUUCCAAUUUAUCUACUGUCCCUUGUGUAAGAACAAGUACUUAUCAUAAAUCCUGCUAUUAGGGCAAAUUUCUACCCAUUCCCUCUGAAGCAUGUGCACCUCUCCUCUACAUGUAAUCUCCCCUACAAUAGAUAAACCCCUCUGGGUCUGGGGGCUAAUAGUGUGGGAACCCAUCAUCUUGCCUCACUGCUGCACAAGCCACAGGUGUGGCUUCUGUUUCUAAGUCCCUAUUAAAUGUUUCUAGAUACCAGAUGUAUCAACCUCUUUCUUCAGCCUCUCAGCUUCCUGGGACUUUGGGGUUGGUUUGCAUAGACCUACCCACCAAAAAACUCUCACAGAGUCAGUCUUAAAUACAUACAGAGCACGGUUGGGAAAAUUCCAUGAAUAUUUAUAGGGGAAGUCAUGUGCUUGAAAAUUGGAUAAACUUGUAUGUAACAUACAUUCCAUUUUGACCUGGGGGUGAGGUUUCAGCUGGGAUUCGACUGUUUAUGUCAAAAGGUAAACUCUAGGGCAAAAAGAAUUUGGACAUAGUCUCUGCAAGCUGACUGAAACUGGCUUAAGAUCUAUGGUCACUUAUCAAUAAAGAAUGUGAUAAAAACGGUCUUUGUCCAAUCAGAGUGCUGGCAGGACCACAAGGCAAGGAAAGGGCAUUGACAGUUGGAGUCCAGUGAUUUAUUAGUAUUGGUUGGAAAAUUUUUCAAUUAUAGUUGUUUUGGCAAUGUUUUUCAGGAGCUGGUUUCUGUUUAAUUACAGAAAAGAAACCUUAUGUAAAUUAACAACAACAGGAUACAUGAACAAUCCUUCAUCCUACUAGCCAUGAAAUUCUGGAGUUUUUUGUUUGUUUGUUUGUUUUAGGGUUUUUUUUGUUGUUGUUGUUUUGCUUUGUCUCAUUGUAGCCACAGAAAGUCCAUUUGGUCUGUCUGUUGGGGUAUAUUGUGACAAUUCCAUUUGUCUUUAGCUGAAAAUGGUUUCAAGCCUGAAUUCUAAGCCACCUCAUUUUCUCCUAGUAUCUCCCAUGUGUUAGCUUAAAAGAAAAACACAACUUAUAAAUGUAGAAAACGAGAAGAGGAGACUUUGUUUCUUAUAGAGGAU
rnacentral:lncRNA from 1 species